UGUAAGCGUAUACCAAAGUUGUUGCAGUUAAAACGCUCGUAGUCGGAAUUUGGCAGUUCCGGAUGUGUGCACGUCGUGUGCGCACUUCGCGGGGAUUGCUUUUGUGGUCUUGCGUAGGAUGAGGCACUUUUAUUAGUGAACGUCCUCACGCAACCACUUUUUACUGUGAUAAAAUCAGAGUGCUCAAAGCAGGCAUUUGCCGUGAAUGUAUUAGCAUGGAAUAAUAGAAUAGGACUUGGUUCUAUUUUGUUGGUUUGUUGGGACUGAGUAAUGAUUAAGAGGGACAGUUGGGGGCAUUUGUAUUUCGGUGCUAGAGGUGAAAUUCUUAGAUUACCGAAAGACAAACUGCUGCGAAAGCGUCUGCCAAGGAUGUUUUCAUUGA
rnacentral:rRNA from 1 species